CGGCAAAAGCUCAAAUUUGAAAUCGGCCAUCAGGUCGAGUUGUAAUUUGUAGAUUGUACUUUGAGAGCGGAUUAAAGUCUGUUGGAACACAGCGCCUUAGAGGGUGACAGCCCCGUAAAAUCUAUUCUCAUUGUAAGGUACUUUCGAA
rnacentral:rRNA from 1 species